ensembl:lncRNA
UGAGUCUGAGCAGAAGCUUUUAAUGAGUGAAAAAGAAACAGUAAUACAGCAGAUAGAGAAACAAAUGUUUGAUUGACAGCUUAAAAUAUACACUUCAUAAGGACAGCGUAAAGAGGACACAUGACGAGUAGUUUAAGAUCGCAAUGUUCAUCUUUAUAAGUUAUAUAAUAAUAAAAAUAAUAUAUUUAUAUAUAAAUAAUAUAGUUUCAUAUUAUAAAAUAUCAGUAGCUAUAGAUAGUAAGUCAUCUAUAUUCAUCUUUAUAUUACUAUAUGUUAUAUAUACUAUGUGCUGUAAUGCUAUAGGACACUGAAAGUGCACGCCCUGGUGCUGCAUUAUGAGUCUCUGAGCUUCCACAGCUGGUUUACACGGGGGGGGUUGUAUUAAUGUAUUAAUGCUUUUUGGCUCCUCAAAGUGCACUCGCUGGUGCAGCAAAGAGUCUGAGAGCUUCCACAGCCCAGAGAACUUUUCACCUGUGCACCAAUCCCUCACAGCUAACCGGCAAGUGGAAUAAAAUCAACAACGGGAUCGAGGCCGUAGCCAGAUACAGUUACAGUGACACUAAUCAGUGAGCUGGGGUUCAGCUUUGGCAAGUAUAAUGCAAAACAGGAGGGUUCGAAUCCACUAAACAGCUACCCUGAGGUACCCCUGAGCAAGGUACCGUCCCUACACGCUGCUCCCCGGGCGCCCAGUGGCUGCCCACUGCUUCAGAGACGAAUUAUUAUUAUUAUUAUUAUUAUUAUUAUUAUUAUUAUUAUCAUCAUUAAGUAAUGCUUAAAAUAAAAGGUCACACAUGACUUAGAGUUUAGCACCUCAAGUCUCCAGCAUCCAGUCACAUAAGUGUCAUUCUGUCACUCAUUACCACCACUGUGCUGUCAUUAACUGUGCCAAAGUACGAACAAAGAGAAACUGAAGAUGAGUCCAGAGGAAGUGUCCACACUCCCACUGCAUCUACACUUACUGUGUAGAUGCAGUGGGAAACUACAGAAAGCAUCCACUCACAGGUGGAGAUUAACCUUUUCAUGCACACUCUACUUCAAAGUGAAAAAAGGGGAAAGAUCAUCGUUUCAGAUCUGUUCUUUCUACACAAUUUCUGGCUUUGCUGCUUCUUUCUUCCCGACGAUGUAAAGUCCUCUGGUUUGCCCACAGCGGCAUCUCCUG